rnacentral:rRNA from 1 species
AUUAGAUACCCCUGUAGUCCGGCUGACUGACUCUUACACCAAGUAUCUCGUAUGCCGUCUUCUGCUUGAAAAAAAUACCCGGGCUCAACCUGGGAACUGCAUUUGUGACUGCAUCACUCGAGUACGGCAGAGGGAGGUGGAAUUCCGCGUGUAGCAGUGAAAUGCGUAGAGAUGAGUAGGAACAUUGAUUGCGUAGUCAGGCGCCCGCGAAGAUCCUCACUAUCAUGAUUGUAAGCGUGCGGCCCAAAUAG